AGCACACUCAAACAAAGUUAACGCCUUGGCCAUUUUUCCUAUCAGAGAGAGAAACCUCGAGCUUUUCUCCAUCUCCAAACCGAAUCGUCCUCUUCUUCCUUCUCCGCCUCUGACCAGAACCCGACCCUUCUCUGGCUCUUCCCCCAAACCUUAUCCCUCUCUCUCCCCCGUCCUAAUCGAACCAAAACCUCAAAGCCCCAGAAAACAAAUUCGCAGAGAUCUCUUUGUGGAUCAUCUCCGAGGUGCAACCUGGUGUUGACUCAUCAGAGGAAGGCGAAGAAUAUGGUGGACACGGUGAGCCCACCCCGGUGGUCGGAGAUCGGUGACGGAGGAGUGAGUCCUCCAUAUCCAUUUUCUCUCUCCUCCCUCUCUCUCUUUCAGAAAAAGAUUGAAAGGAUUGAUUUUGAAUCAAAUUGAUUUAGGAAUGGCUUUGAGAGUCGUUGAUCAACAACAAGCCAGAGUGCGAGAAGAAGGAGUUUGGGAAAACUAGAGAUGAUUUGAAGUCGCCUCAAAGUCUCGGUCAGAUUAUAAGGGAAGUUCUAAGACCUCUCGAUAAUAUUGAACGCUGGUCAAAAUUAUGUACAACCAUGUCAAUGAUAGAUCUGGGAUGGAAGCUCCUCUGAUUGCUAAUGAUGUUUAUGAAAUCAUCAUGAAGAAUGCAGUGUGUUUGGACAGUGAGAUCAUUUACGACCGCGACUUUGACUACGACUACUUUGGUUUCAAGACUCUUGAGAGGUCUUACCUCUUGAAGGUUCAUGGGAAGGUUGUAGAAAGGCCUCAACACAUGCUAAUGAGGGUUGCUAUUGGAAUACACAAGAAUGAUAUUGACUCUGUAGGUGCUAUGUUUUGUUAGAGGACUUUGUCAAAUGUCAUAUUUAUUCACAUAUGUCAUCAUUAUUGAGAAGCAUAGAGUCAUCUGGUGCAAGUUCAAGACAUGCAAAAUAUUUCUCAUGGAGCUAUAUGGUGGCAGGUACUUUUUGUUUCCUCCCACGAGUACCAAAGAGUAUGAUGAUCGCGUGAUGGUGCUACUGUAUAUGCUGUAAAGUGUGAACCACAGGUGGCGGAGCUGGAUCUGCUAAGCACAUGCACUUGUUAAUCGACAUAGCUCAUCUUGCAACCAACAACACAAAGGAACUAUAUGGUGGAAUGUUGCAUAAAGAGUCUUUGGGAGAUCGAGCGUGGAGUACCAAGCAUUAAUGCAACAAGCUAUAUUUUGUUUCAUCAUGUAAAACUUAACCAGGAAAUUUAAAUGCUUUUUAGUCUAUCCAAUGUAUGAAUGCUUUAGCAAUGUUCCUUAAAUUCAAUAUUUGAUGAAUUGAUGUAUCCCAAUGACUUUGGUACAAAUGUUGAUCAUUUGAUGGUUUGCAUUCAAUUUGUAUUCCAAUUUUUCACUAUUAA